CAGGGACGCCGCGAUGGAAGCGAUUCUGCGGCUCGGUCGCCACCAACCGCUCUCCAUCCGCUCCAACCGCCACCAACCGCUCUCACUUUCUUUUCGUUGAGGAGUCUGGAAGGAGCAGGACUUCGUGAGGGCCUUUCUCGACAGCCUCUUGGCGGGUCUGCGAAUGCACACGCCGCACAGGGGCUCAGCCGGUGUCCGGCCCGGAGGGAAGAAGGGCUCGCCGCGGGCCCGGGGCGCAGAGGUGCGCGGUGCGCUCGCCGAGGCGGUGAAAACCUAGAUCGUUGCUGAUGAGUGGGGUGCUCGAGUCAGAGAGCGACCCCGAGACAAAGACCGAUACUGUAUCAGAUACCGCUACGGGCUGAAUCUGAAAGGACUCCGAGGAGCAAGUUCUGUCUGUGAGCCUUUUCCUGCUGAAGGGACAGAAGCUGGCUCUAUACAUCAGGCCCCCUCCCUCAAGCUGGGGCAUUGGUGAGGUAUUCCUACGGCUGGAGAAAGCCACAGCUACCUUGCCCGAAACCGGAACUCAAUUUCCUGAUGCUGUGUCUCUGGGCACAAAGGAGGAGAGGGACCAGCAAGGCUGAGGGUUCCGAGUGGAACAAAGACCCCGAUUCUUCCCCUGCUUUGGUGUGACAAAUCAGGUGGGACCAUGGAGGGUAUCAGUGCUGCCUCUGAUAGCUCAGGGUAAAAGAUAUUAAAAUACAUUAAUGACUAAA